rnacentral:tRNA from 6 species
GGGGCUGUAGCUCAGCUGGGAGAGCACCUGCUUUGCAAGCAGGGGGUCGUCGGUUCGAUCCCGAUCAGCUCCACCA